GUUAAUAAAAAAAAGAAAGAUACAAAGUUUAAAAUUUAGACACUAAUGUGUCAAGAGACCUUUGAUACCAUAGUUAAUCUACUUGAAUACAGUUAAUGACUCUGUUAAACCUCUGCUCGCUCAUUGGUAAAAUAGAAUUUCCUCAUCAAUGGACCCCUCAUGGUGGCAGGAUAAUUGGUGGAUUUUGUUUUAAGAGAGUCAUGGUUUUUCCUCAGUACUGUCCAUGUGGUAUGUGUUGCACAUCUCCGUAGAAGGCUAAGGUGCUGGAUGCUGGCAGACAAAUUUAAAGCAUUUUUCCUCUGGACCGUGAAUGACUCAGUACUUUACCUAGAGUCUAUAAGAUGCGGAGAUGAUCCCUUUGGAGUUUCUGGGAAACUUCUUUUAUAAUGAAAAGGUUACCUGAAGAGGAACACCCAUUUCUUUCUGCAGAGUUUGCAUAUUAAUAUUUAAGAACAUGACACUUCCAUCUGCCUUGCUUUCCUUUUCCCCACUAAGAGAAAAACUGAGGGCAAUAGCCGACAGGCUGGAGCUGGCAGAAUGCCAAAGGCAUGGUGCCAGAACUUGGAAGUAUCCAGCCAGCUGAAGCAUCUUUGGUGCGAUGAGAAUAUUGUCUUUUAUUUAUAACAUUCUUAGUUGGUGCUUUCAUUUAUUUAAUAGGAAAAUUAUCCUAACCAGUGUUUUCAUUGCAACUAGUUUAACUGCAAGGCAUGGUUCAGGGCUCAAAAGGAUGACCCACAUAACGAUCAUGAUGAACACUAUCGAAGUAUGGUUCUCCUGUUCCCAGACCAAUACCUCGGACCACAUUGUCCCAGUCAGAAAGCAGACAUACCGUGGGAUAGAAACUUAUUGCAAAGGCCCUGACUGGCAUAUUAAAGACCACCUACACUCCCAUGUACACUGCAGACUGAUGCAUAGUAACUGAAAGAUAACAACCCAAGAAGUCACUGAUGGAUGCAUGGUUAAAGAAAUUGUGGUUGCCCUAGAUAUUCACAGCUGAGUAAGCUUUGACAAGUCAUCCAGACUUCUGAGGCUCGUGGUAACAGCAACACAUCUCAACAAUCAUCUCAAAGACGACAUGAGAUAACAAACAAAGUAUUGACGUCUUAAUCUCAAUGCUUGUCAGUAAGAGCCUACAAACAUAAGCUGACUCGGCUUCCCCAAGUGAAAGAAUCAAAAUAAAAACAAAGUAACAAGA
rnacentral:sRNA from 1 species